rnacentral:rRNA from 1 species
UACAGAGGGUGCGAGCGUUAAUCGGAAUUACUGGGCGUAAAGCGUGCGUAGACGGCUAUUUAAGUCGGAUGUGAAAGCCCCGGGCUCAACCUGGGAAUUGCAUUCGAGACUGAAUAGCUAGGGUGCGGUAGAGGGAAGCGGAAUUUCCGGUGUAGCGGUGAAAUGCGUAGAUAUCGGAAGGAACAUCAGUGGCGAAAGCGGCUUCCUGGACCAGCACCGACGUUCAGGCACGAAAGCGUGGGGAGCAAACAGG